ACAGUCUGUUCCACUUAUAAUAAUGUCUAUAGAAUACCAUAACUCAAAAUGGAGACGUUUACUAAUUACUUUGUGCAUUCGGAAACGUGGAGUUAAAAAUUUGAUAUUCCUUCUUGUGUUUAUACUGCGAUUAUUACUAUUUAUAUCAAAACAAUCGAUAUAAUUGUGAAUAUACAUAAAAUUCUUAUAAAUAUAUUGUGAAACAAUUGUUAAUACGUCUAACGAAACGUCUACGACCUAAUGAAAAACAUUAGCGUCAGCUGGGAGACUCGAGCUCCAGUAUCCUAAAUAACGCGAAUAGCCCUUUUUGGAUAAUAAAUGAAGUCUCAAUAUCUGUAGCAUUGCCGUGGGGUAACAGACCAUUAGACAUAACACUAUGGAAAUAGCUAAAAUAUAUUAAACGCGCAGUAGCAACGCGCUGACUAGAAAAAGACAGAUAUUAGUUAGUACAAGUAUUCCGUUGACGAAAGAGAACAUAGAGAAAUUGACUCCGACUACCAGCGAUUGUUUGCCCUCAUCGUCGAGAGAGAUAUCGGCUCAAAAUAAUAACAAUACUUUGCCUAAUUCACCGAAAGGACGACCGGCUCAUAAUAACAACAUUAGUAUGCCUGUAACACUGAAAGAACAAUCAGCCGAGACUAAUAGUUUACCACGAAGGUCGAAAAGAUUGUCAGCACGGAACAAUAGUAAGAGUUUUUGAGCAUGUUGCAACCAGUACCUUGGAAACAUUAAGCUAAAUGUGACCAAAAAAGGCCAAUAGAGUUCGUCAACAACCCAAGAAAAAAUUAAAACUAAAAAGGACCUACGUAAGAUUUUCAUAUCAUACGAAUCGGACAAUGCUCAAGAUAGAAACAUUCAUAAAAAUUUUGAUUGACAAAUGUAUUAACUACAUUCAUUAAUUAAUCAUUAAAUAUAAUUUUUAUACGGUU